rnacentral:tRNA from 1 species
AGCCCUGAGGUGUUCCACAUAUAAGAUUGCAAAUCUUAAGUUGCAGAGUCGCAUCUGCCGGGGCUU